rnacentral:rRNA from 1 species
AGUGAACGCUGGCGGUAGGCCUAACACAUGCAAGUCGAACGGCAGCACAGUAAGAGCUUGCUCUUACGGGUGGCGAGUGGCGGACGGGUGAGGAAUACAUCGGAAUCUACUUUUUCGUGGGGGAUAACGUAGGGAAACUUACGCUAAUACCGCAUACGACCUACGGGUGAAAGCAGGGGAUCUUCGGACCUUGCGCGAUUGAAUGAGCCGAUGUCGGAUUAGCUAGUUGGCGGGUUAAAGGCCCACCAAGGCGACGAUCCGUAGCUGGUCUGAGAGGAUGAUCAGCCACACUGGAACUGAGACACGGUCCAGACUCCUACGGGAGGCAGCAGUGGGGAAUAUUGGACAAUGGGCGCAAGCCUGAUCCAGCCAUACCGCGUGGGUGAAGAAGGCCCUCGGGUUGUAAAGCCCUUUUGUUGGGAAAGAAAAGCAGCAGGUUAAUACCCCGCUGUUCUGACGGUACCCAAAGAAUAAGCACCGGCUAACUUCGUG